AUGGCUGACUUCCCUCCCCAUACGGGCACUUUAGGGGCUGGCCGCCAUUUUGUGAGGUUCCUGGAAGGCAGACAUCUCGCGGACACGUCAGGGUUGAGGAAGGUGAGCCUUGCACCGUGGGGGUACCACCACAGCCCAGAGGGGAGCACAAGUGCUUGCUGGAGGAGGAGCCCAUUUUCCAUCGUGAAUCCUGGGUUGAUAUCAGAUCAGCAGUGGCAGCCAGGUCUGGAGAGCAGAGGGAUUCUGCAGGGUGUGGACCUCCCCUGAGGACUGACUCUGAAGCAGAGAGCAAAAGGACUGCACAGACUGGGGCCUGGCAUGCGUGACUUCACUAGAGUGGGAGACCUUGUCUGAGCACGGCCCUUGCUUAA
rnacentral:lncRNA from 1 species